rnacentral:rRNA from 1 species
GAUGAACGCUGUCUACAGGCUUAACACAUGCAAGUCGAGGGGAAACGACGGGGAAGCUUGCUUCCCCGGGCGUCGACCGGCGCACGGGUGAGUAACGCGUAUCCAACCUGCCUCUGACUGAGGGAUAACCCGUCGAAAGUCGGCCUAAUACCUCAUGGCAUCGUCUGCGGGCAUCCAACGACGAUUAAAGAUUUCAUCGGUCAGGGAUGGGGAUGCGUCUGAUUAGCUUGUUGGCGGGGUAACGGCCCACCAAGGCUACGAUCAGUAGGGGUUCUGAGAGGAAGGUCCCCCACAUUGGAACUGAGACACGGUCCAAACUCCUACGGGAGGCAGCAGUGAGGAAUAUUAGUCAAUGGGCGGGAGCCUGAACCAGCCAAGUAGCGUGCAGGAUGACGGCCCUAUGGGUUGUAAACUGCUUUUAUGCGGGGAUAAAGUGAGGGACGUGUCCUUCAUUGCAGGUACCGCAUGAAUAAGGACCGGCUAAUUCCGUG